rnacentral:rRNA from 1 species
GACGAACGCUGGCGGCGUGCUUAACACAUGCAAGUCGAACGGAAAGGCCCUGCUUUUGUGGGGUGCUCGAGUGGCGAACGGGUGAGUAACACGUGAGUAACCUGCCCUUGACUUUGGGAUAACUUCAGGAAACUGGGGCUAAUACCGGAUAGGAGCUCCUGCUGCAUGGUGGGGGUUGGAAAGUUUCGGCGGUUGGGGAUGGCCUCGCGGCUUAUCGGCUUGUUGGUGGGGUAGUGGCUUACCAAGGCUUUGACGGGUAGCCGGCCUGAGAGGGUGACCGGCUACAUGGGGGAGGGAAGGCGGCCAAGACUCCGAGGGGAGGCAGGGGGGGGGAUUUUACAAAAGGGGGCGGAAGGAUGAAGCGGCACCGCGGGGGGGGGGAUGGCGGCCUUCGGGUUGAAACCCUUUUUCGCCGUUGACGAAGGGUGGGGACGGUAAAUGGGGAAGAAAGCCCGGCUAAACUCCUG